CAAUAGCGUAUAUUAAAGUUGUUGCAGUUAAAAAGCUCGUAGUUGGAUUUGUGGCGUACGGUGGGUUCCGGGCACUUGUUGUCUGAGUAACUUGCUGUUGCCAUCCUUGGGUGGAACCUGUGUGGCAUUAGGUUGUCGUGCAGGGGAUGCCCAUCAUUUACUGUGAAAAAAUUAGAGUGUUCAAAGCAGGCUUAUGCCGUUGAAUAUAUUAGCAUGGAAUAAUGAGAUAGGACUUUUUUGCUACUUUGUUGGUUUGCGCAAAGAGGUAAUGAUUAAUAGGGACAGUUGGGGGUAUUCGUAUUCCAUUGUCAGAGGUGAAAUUCUUGGAUUUUUGGAAGACGAACUACUGCGAAAGCAUUUACCAAGGAUGUUUUCAUUAA
rnacentral:rRNA from 1 species